UACGAAGGGGGCUAGCGUUGCUCGGAAUGACUGGGCGUAAAGGGCGCGUAGGCGGUUUGUACAGUCAGGUGUGAAAUUCCCGGGCUCAACCUGGGGGCGGCACUUGAGACGUAGGAACUGGAGUGAGGAAGAGGGUCGUGGAAUUCCCAGUGUAGAGGUGAAAUUCGUAGAUAUUGGGAAGAACACCGGUGGCGAAGGCGGCGACCUGGGUAGAUACUGACGCUGAGGUGCGAAAGCGUGGGAAGCAAACAGG
rnacentral:rRNA from 1 species